rnacentral:rRNA from 1 species
CUAUGGGAGGCACCAGUGAGGAAUAUUGCACAAUGGGGGGAACCCUGAUGCAGCAACGCCGCGUGGAGGAUGACGCAUUUCGGUGUGUAAACUCCUUUUAUAUGUCAAGAAAAUGACGGUAGCAUAUGAAUAAGCACCGGCUAACUCCGUGCCAGCAGCCGCGGUAAUACGGAGGGUGCAAGCGUUACUCGGAAUCACUGGGCGUAAAGGACGCGUAGGCGGGUUGGAAAGUCAGGUGUGAAAUCCUACAGCUUAACUGUAGAACUGCACUUGAAACUUCUAAUCUAGAGUAUGGGAGGGGUAGAUGGAAUUAGUGGUGUAGGGGUAAAAUCCGUAGAUAUCACUAGGAAUACCUAAAGCGAAGGCGAUCUCCUGGAACAUUACUGACGCUAAGGCGUGAAAGCGUGGGGAGCAAACAGGAUUAGAUACCCGCGUAGUC